rnacentral:tRNA from 9 species
GAUAGCUCAGCUGGUAGAGC